GACGAACGCUGGCGGCGUGCUUAACACAUGCAAGUCGAGCGGUAAGGCCCUUUCGGGGGUACACGAGCGGCGAACGGGUGAGUAACACGUGGGUGACCUGCCCUCAGCUCUGGGAUAAAGCCUGGGAAACCGGGUCUAAUACUGGAUAUGACUCCAUGACGCAUGUUGUGGGGUGGAAAGCCUUGUGCGGCUGAGGAUGGGCCCGCGGCCUAUCAGCUUGUUGGUGGGGUGAUGGCCUACCAAGGCGACGACGGGUAGCCGGCCUGAAAGGGCGACCGGCCACACUGGGACUGAGACAC
rnacentral:rRNA from 1 species